AGUUCUAUGGCCUCAGAAACCAAGGAUCAACAUGUUACUUGAACAGCAUGCUGCAGGUGCUGUGCAUGACUGAAGAGUUCAGAGAAGCUGUGAAAAGGCACACUGAGGACAACAGCAACACAACACACAUUGACAGACAGCUGUCAGAGCUGUUUGAUGAGUUAAAGGAAGGCCCAGCAGAGACCAUCGGAAUCACACACAAGCUGUGAAUUCGCUCAGUGAAUAAACAAAGUGAUGCAGCAGAACACUUUGAGAAGAUUUUGGCGCUCACCAGUCCCGAGGCGUCAA